GAAAAAGAAACAUGAAACAUUGUAUUCAUGUAUUUUUUUUUUUUUUAAGUUUUGAUACAUUAUUUAGAUAUUAAUUAACAUUCAUGAACACAUCACUUGGAACUGUGCGACCUUUAACUUUCUGUGCUACGAAAUAAGUAUUCAACCAUUGGGUCACUAACCCUAGAACCCUUAUACGUGGCUGCAUGUUUGUAUUGCACAACUCAGACAAGAGCAGCAUUAUACAACUGACAACUCCAUUGUAAUGAUCAGCUAAUGCGGCGGCACAGAGUAAUUCCAUCACCAACAGGGAGCUGGCAAAUCUCGACCCUUGGAUCAGCAGCAAUGGCCUUGUUGAACUCCAAAACAUAAUCAAGGUAGAACCUGACAUAUUUCCUUAGUGGUGCAUCAGGGGGUGCUGCCACUGAGCCAUUCCAUAGGGUAUUAUCAUAGCCGAUAAGUCCUCCAACCUUCACAAGUUCAAUUGUUCUCUUGUGGUAGUUGAGGUAAUUGUCUUUGUCAGCAUCCACAAAGAUAAAAUCAAACGUUCCAUGGUAUUUUCCGUCUUGGAUCAAUUGAUCAAGAACUGGAAGAGCAGGGCCUUCUCUGAAGUCAAUCUUGUGAGCAACACCAGCUUUUUCAAUGACAGGUAGACCCAAUUCGUAGUUUUCACGGUUGAUGUCCAUGGCCAAUAUCUUGCCAUCAUCAGGAAGAGCAAGAGCAGUGGCAAGAAGUGAGUAGCCAGUGUAAACACCAAUUUCCAUAGUGUUCUUGGCAUUGAUGAGCUUCAGAAGCAUGCUCAAGAAUUGCCCUUCAUCAGCUGAAGUAGUCAUGAUGUUCCAUGGAUGAUUUGCUGUCAAUUCUCGGAGCUCUUUCAUUGGUUCAGGCUCCCCAGGAUAUACACUAGUCUCCAGUAUAUACUGGUAAAGAGCAUCACUCUGUAAGAGACUCUUGUGUCCAAUUUCCUGGUGUCUACCAACUUGGUUUUGCUGCUCCUUUGUUGGUUCAGGCUCCUUUGUUUCAAGAAUAUCCUUGUAAAUAGCAAGACUCUGUUGAAGAUUUUGGUGGCCACCUUGGUGGUUUUGCUGUUCUUCCAGACCUGGAGCCAUUACUUCUAAAUGCUUAUCCUUAAUUUGCUUCUCUCCGAUAAGGGAUUUGAAAGAUAACUUGCGAACUUGCCCUAUUUAUAGAUGGAGUAGUAUGGUUGGUAAGAGUAGGUGCAAUAAAUCCAUCACAAAAGCUAAAAAGGUGAAAAAAAUAUGGUUGAAAAAUUAUAAAAUUUCAACCACAAAGCUGACACCAAAGAUGUUGGUGGCAGCCUUCGCCCGGCCCUGGGAUGCCAUCAUCACCCUGGAACCACCGUGGGCCAAAGGCACAGUUUGACCAAUUCCAUCUUU
rnacentral:misc_RNA from 1 species